rnacentral:rRNA from 1 species
UACAAUGGCGUGGACAAAGGGAUGCGGACCGGCGACGGCGAGCGAACCCCAAAAAUAACGCCCCAGUUCGGAUUGUAGUCUGCAACCCGACUACAUGAAGCUGGAAUCGCUAGUAAUCGCGGAUCAGAACGCCGCGGUGAAUACGUUCCCGGGUCUUGUACACACCGCCCGUCACACCAUGGGAGCCGGGAAUGCCCGAAGUCGGCAGCCCAACCGGAAGGGGGGAGCCGCCGAAGGCAGGCCCGGUGACUGGGGUGAAGUCGUAACAAGGUAUC